CCACCAAACGUUUCAGUUCAGUGACUGCAUAGCUGAGGAGGUAGGUGACAGAGCCAUGCUGCGGUCUAUUCUACUUGUAGUGAUAUUGUCGUUGUUGGCAUUUCAACUUUGUCCAGCAUUUGCCUGUCUAUCAAGGGGCUUACAGUGCAGCAAUGUUACAUCUGCCCCGGAACAUCUGAAAUGCUGUGAUAACGUUGAGUGUUCCUACUUUUGGUCUACAAAGGAAACUAGAUGUGUUUAAAAUCCACCAUUAGGUUCUUGUAAUGCAGGGUAUCUGUUACCAAAUAUUUGUUCACUGUAACCCAAAUAAAAUAUUGAUCUAAUAAACAUCAAAUGUGUGUAAAGAUGGUUUAUUAAA